rnacentral:pre_miRNA from 1 species
GAUUUCAGCCGAAAAUGUCAUCAACAACAAAUUGUAUAACUCAUCAAGAUCUAUAACUUUUAUUUUGGUCAUUUCUUCAUCCAACAAAGUGAUUUGUAACAUUGUUCACAAAAUAUACAAAUCUCUUAUACAGUUUCAUAACUAUAAGAGAGAUAUGUAAAUUUUAAGAAAUUGUUACUAUCACUUUGUCGGAUGAAGAAAUGACCAAAAUAGAAGUUAUAGAUCUCAAUGAGUUAUAUCACUUUGUUAUUGAUGACAUUUUCAAUUGAAAUC